UGCCCGUUCAUUUCAGCUCACAAUCUCCACCCAGAUGCUCACGUUUCCCUGAAUGACUUCAGUUGCAUCUCAGCUCGAGGUCCGACUAAGUCUCCCCCAUGAACCACGUGCCCGGUCAGCAUGUCACCUCUCCGCUCAGGACUCUGCUGCCGUGACUCUCGCUAAAGCACCGAUUCUGGGAGUCAGACGGGCUCAGCUCAGAUCUCACCUCUCCCCGGAAGACUUGGCAGCCAGCUCUCUCUCCCACAAUCCCCCGUCCCACACUCUUUAGCACCCAAAGCCUUGAUGAAGCAUCUUUCCUCGGGCUGGAGCACACUGCCGGACACAACCACGUCCCCCAAGUCUUGGCGCUCCGCAGAGUACCGGCUAGUCCUGAGCACUAGGGAGGGAGGAGGAAACUAUUGGCUAACUUCUGGGAUGGAGAUAACCAUUUCCCAAAGAAGCGUCCCUGAGCUGAUCCCCGGCCUGGAAGCAGAGGAGGAGCGCGGGGCGGGGCAGAAUGGAACCUCAUUUACCACUGCGGCUUCCUCCAGUGGAGUCGCUCGGAGCCAGGGGAGGUGGAUGCGGCUUGUCCAUCAGCAUGCCCGAUGAGGGGGCUCCUCCCAAGGGGACAGGGGGGAUGGAGUAGGGGCCGGGGACACAGGACACAGAGGGAGGGUACCCGGCCUUGGCUGCUUUCCCUGCUUCAUACACUGCGGAGGGAGAUGAAGAGCAAGAGAUUAUACGGCCCCACCCUCACAACCCUCACACCUCACGUCCCUGAGGGUGCACUUUAGGGACCUCCUGGAUGUGUGCCUGUGUGUGCCUAUUUGUGCAUGCACGCACGUGUGUGCCUAUGCGUGCAGGUGCAUGCUGUGUCCCAGUGCAUGUGUGUACAUGUGUGUGUCUAUUUGUGCAUGUGCCUGUGUGUGCUUAUGUGCAUGUGCCUAUGUGUGCAUGUAUGUGUGUGCAUGCGCCUUGCGCGCCUGUGUGUUUGUUCUCCUAGGCCUGAGUCACGUAAUUGGAAGCACUCCCCGCACUGCCUUGGACUCCUCCGGCUCCGUCAGCAGACGACAUCAGGAAUUACAGUGUUUGGCACCUGGCAACUGAGUCACUAGCAGCAGCGGGAGCCGUCCCAGCAGCUCCGUGACAGCAGCGGCCCACUCCUAGCCACACUGUAUGUAGGCGGCCCAGCCCCGGGGCUGCCCAGGGCAGCUUCCGGGGGAGCCGGAACCUCUUCCAGCGGCAAAGCGAGCAAGGGGCUGCGUGUGAGCCCAAAAGCAGAGCAGAUAACCUGACCCUCCCGGAAGUGCGUUCUUCCCGAGAGCACUAACCUACCACGUGUCUCUCUCCUGCGAGCUGUGUCUGGUUGACAGCAGGGGUUCCAAAUGUGAUGCCUACCUGGGCCUGGCACCCUGGGAAUCCCCAAAGGAGGACUCGCUCUUCUGUGGGCCCUUUGGUCAUGGGCGCACAUAAAACCUGCCAGUGGCUGGAUGGCACCCAGGACUGUGGUCUGCACACACUGCUCAUCAAAAGGGGGUUCUCUGCUGUGGGAGGCGUGACCAGAGAAGGUUCCUCGAGUCUGAACGCCCCGGGAGAGGGCAGGCGCCUCUCCCACAGCCUCAGCCUCCUGCACCUGCCCUUCCUGCAGCCAAGUCUCAACGAGACGGCACAUGCUGCUGACGGGCGUGGACAAGGACGGAGAGGCCUGAGGGCAGCAGCAGGACUCCGGGCAGCAGGGGCAGCGGAUGUAGCAGCAGCAGCUGUGUGGGCAGCACUGGCACCAGCAGAUGCCCACCAGGACGAAGAAGAGGAAGACGCCCAGGAUCACCAGCCCCACAAACACCCACUCUGGAAGGAGGCACAGAGAAACUCGCGUCAGGGUGGCGCCUCCCCAUGAAGAGGCAGACGGGGGGCCUGGGACAGAGGGCACAGAACCCCCAAACUCGGGAGGCACUGGGAGAGUGAGAAGUGCAGACCUCCCAGGGCUGGGGCGUGAAAAGGAUGGUCACCAGGUCCUGUGAGCACAAGCCACGGUGGGCUCAGGGCCCGCCCGGGGAACGGGUUUACCAUGUUGACUGCAGUGUCAGGACUGGUGUGGGACAGGAACACAGACUGGUGGCUGGGGAGGGGACGGGUCUGCUGAACUAGAACGUGGGUUCUGUGAGUACGUAUCCUGGGGAGUCGUUGAUCUUGUCGCUGGACGUGUAAGCCCUGAGAAACUUCUCCAUGUCUACCGGGUGCAAAUCAGAACGUAUUUAGGUGGUCCGUGUCCUUAUGUCUCUAUCCGUUCCCCUGCCCAUCGUCCCGGGACGCCUUUCCUGAACUCAGCAUCAGGGCUAAUACCUGCCCAGCGAACCAUGACCAGAGACAGGAGAGCGGCUCCCAGAGAGAAGACGCCGCCCCGCCCCCGGCUGCCGACAGGCUGGAGGGCCCAACUCCCCCCUGGCAGCGUGGGAGGCCGGAGUGAGCCUCGGUUUCCCUUAAAAGCUAAAAGACUAAAGCAAUUUUGAUUGAAAAUCAUCUACCAAAAAUCCCUUUA